rnacentral:other from 1 species
AUUUUCCUACCCUGUGCGUGUAUGUUAGCACUUAUAACCCUACAACCUUUAACUUGGGGUCUUAAUCUCGCGCGAGUGGUGAGCAGGCCUCCCGAUUUUUCGGAUGUUGGAAGCCCGAGCCGCGCGGAAGACACCCACCUGCUAUUUUGCAGGUUAUCAUGUGCCCUUACGGCAGGGUGGGAAGCCU